AGCACAGUUGUAGGAGAGCGGAUGGUGAGCGCACUGGUGUUUGCUGGCUUGGGUAAGAUCUGAGGGUAGCGGUGUCUGGCAGAACGGUCCCCACCAGGACUGGCUGGAACGUUCUGAGGAGUCUUUGGUGUCUGUUUCACAGACUGCAUGUGCUGAGUGACCACUUGCACAUUGAGGGGAAGAACUUUGCCAUCAGGAGAAUUCAUUGGACUUGGUGAAGUUACUAACUGCCUUGUCCGCUGGACCUGCAAAAAGUCUUACAGCUUCCUUUGGCCCUGUCUCAGCGUUACUCCUAGCAUCUGCACCCAGGAAAGCCUCUGCCAACGGCUCACAGCUUUCUGCUUUGUCCUCUUGCCAGGGUUUCUGGACAGGAAUGAUUUCCAAGCAGCUGACUUACAAAAAGGACAUUUGUAACACAACCUGUCUUCAAGAUGGACACUGUACUUAUAAAAAAAUUAAUUUGCCUUCAAAGGAUGAAAAUUAAUUUAUCAUGAGUAUUCUUUUAAAAAUGUACUAAUAGUUGAGAACAAAAUUUCAAGACUGAAAGUGUUUUCAGUAAUGAUAUAAUUGGAAAAGUUUUGUGUUCUCAUAUGUUGCUUCUAAAAAUAAAAAUCACCUGUUC
ensembl:antisense Gm27241 predicted gene 27241